rnacentral:rRNA from 1 species
GUAACUAGAGAGCGAGCGUCCGCGUGAUAUCGUAUCGUUCUAGCGUUGUUCGAGAUGGGUGUGAUGAAAGUGAGUGUGGUUGGUUUAUCUGGUCUGAAGUCAAAAUCACGGGGCCAACCCUGGACUUGCUUGGAGUACUGGGAUACUAGAGUAUGGUAGAGGGUGCCGGAAUGCCGUGUGUAGCGGUGGAAUGCGCAGAUAGCAGAAGGAACACCGAUGGCGAAGGCAAGUCUCUGGGCCAUUACUGACGCUGAGGAGCGAAAGCAUGGGGAGCGAACAGGAUUAGAUACCCGAGUAGUC